UACAGCCCCGUCGAUGAGAAUGGGGGUGUGCUCAGUCAUACUUUUCCUGUAGUCCACAAUCAUCUCCUUAGUCUUGUCUACGUUGAGGGAUAGGUUGUUUGCUCUUUUGGUCCUGGGCUGAAGAGGUCAGUGUUUAGGUUUCAUUUACACUCCCAGGGGUUUGUGAACUUCAUGACAUUUAUCUGCGGUGCACAUUAGGCCUACAUGGAGAUGUGAUGAUGUUAUAUUCUUCCCUUAGAGUGUCUAGCAGCAUGUCAUGUUAUUUACUUGUUAGUACUCUGCGAAUUGUUCCGCGUCAUUGUCACAGCAAUGUGUUUUGUUUUGACUGAAUACAGAACUUUCAUUAGAACACUGAAUUGCUACAUGUACCUCAAACCCCAUGUAGAUGGAUGGAGUUGUUUUCCCUCCUCAGAUUCAGACCCUCUAGGAGGGAAACCCCUGUAAACACCGGCAGAGCAGAGCCCUGUGCCAGCGACACACUCCAAUGCUGCUGAACCUCACCACAGAGAAGGGCCAACAGCAAACACCAUGCAGGCCUGCACGCAGAACCCUCAGACACUUAACACUCUGACUAGCCAUUCAUAUUAAACACAGACUUGGCCUACAGUAACACUUAAACAGCUUGUAAAGUAAGUGGUUAUUACAGCCACUGUAUCUGACUGUGUGUUUAUGUACAGCGCCACCUGGUGAGGGAAGAGUGAGGCUCAGCCUCAACCUGCCCAUCAUCAACCCAUAGAGACUGCAGACAGCCAAAGUACUGGUGGAGUACAGCUGGAGCUGUAAAGGUCGAUGCCUUGGCUGAUAGAGAUCAACGCCAGCCCCACCAUGGGCACCUCUACAGCAGUGACAACACGCCUGUGUGCUGCCGUGCAGGGGACACUCCCUGGGUGGAGCUGGACCUCUGGUUGGACCGAGGGGUACACACUGGGGGCUUUCAGCUGAUAUACAAACAGCCCCGUCGAUGAGAAUGGGGGUGUGCUUACACCUCCUUUUCCUGAAGUCCAUGAUGG